rnacentral:rRNA from 15 species
AUUGAUGUAUUCAACGAGUCUAUAGCCUUGGUCGACAGGCCCGGGUAAUCUUUGAAAAUUUCAUCGUGAUGGGGAUAGAUCAUUGCAAUUGUUGGUCUUCAAC